rnacentral:rRNA from 1 species
GACGAACCGUGCGAACGUUGUUCGGAAUUACUGGGCGUAAAGGGCUCGUAGGCGGCCAACUAAGUCAGACGUGAAAUCCCCAGGCUCAACCUGGGAACUGCGUCUGAUACUGGAUGGCUUGAAUCCGGGAGAGGGAUGCAGAAUUCCAGGUGUAGCGGUGAAAUGCGCAGAUAUCAGGAGGAACACCGGUGGCGAAGGCGGGUCUCUGGGCCGAUACUGACGCUGAGGAGCGAAAGCGUGGGGAGCAAACAGG